rnacentral:lncRNA from 10 species
CUUGUAUAGGUGGAAUGUUGUUUUUCCUCUGUACACCUUCUUUAUAGAACAUUUUCUUCAUGUUACCUAAAGGCAUGGUGCAAAUUAAAAACCUGCGAAUAUCUGCAUUAGGAUAAUUCAGCUUACCUAAUUGUUUAGGUCAUGUAGCCCCUCGUUUCCUCCAUAAUAAUAGAAUAAAGAGCCAGAGGAGUUCUGCUUUCCCAUGACUUACAUCACUCUGCAGACAAUUGGCAGCCAGGAGACGGGCAGCUGCCGCAAUCUUCAGAUUUCUCUCUAUUUAAAGUUCAAAGAGACGCUGGAUAACAAAAGAAAGAGGUAAGCGUGGCCUGACCUAGCCACCCACCAACAGGAAUAAUGGCUGAAAAAGCGGGGUCUACAUUUUCACACCUUCUGGUUCCUAUUCUUCUCCUGAUUGGCUGGAUUGUGGGCUGCAUCAUAAUGAUUUAUGUUGUCUUCUCUUAGAAAGGCAAGAAGAUAUCAGAUUGACAUCAUUUAGAAGAAUUAAGAAAACUAUGAACAUGACUGAUUAUUAAAUGUCUCAUGUUAAACAAUGCAAUGUUUGACAUCACUUUACAAACUUGGAUCAUAAACUGGCACUUUGGUAUGCAUAAGAAUUUCUUCAGGACAAUAAGAAAUUAUGAGUGAAUUUCUCUAUAUUCUGAGUGAGAAAAAUGUUUAGCUGUGAUGAAAAAUGCAUGUCAUUAAAAAAAGUUUGAUAAAUUUAAUCACAUUACAAAAAAUUAUCCCCCCUUCCCUCUGGAAAAAACUAUAGAGAAAGUGGGCUGAGGCUGUGCAAGGUGGCUCAUGCCUGUAAUCCCAGCACUUUGUGAGGAUCCUUUGAGCCCAGAAAUUGGAGACCUUCCUAGGCGACAGAGAGAGACCCCAUCUCUACAAAAAAAAAAAAAAAAAAAAAAAAAAAGAAAGAAAAUGGGCUAGAGAUAAAAACAGACAAUUCAGAGAACAUAUAAUGUAAAAGUACACUUACUUAAUCUCUUGUUCACAAAAAGAGAAAUGUAAUUAAAACUACACUGAGGAAUUGUUGCUCACUUAUCAGAUGGGAAAAAAAUAAAGAUGUUUGACAACAUAUGAGUUGGUAAGACUGUGUGCAAUUAGGCAUUCUCAUACAUUGUCUUUGGGAAUUCAAAAUGGUACAUUUUGCGGGAUGUUUGGCAGUACAUAUCUAUCAAAAUUACAUAUAUAUUUAAUUUUUGACUUAGCUAUCCCUCUUCUAGGAAUAUGGCAAUUUCCACAGGUACAUGAGCAAAAAUACAAAAUGGCUCAUAUACAAGGCUAUUUAUUCUGGCAUAAUUUGUUUAGCAAAAACCUGGAAAUAAGCCAAAUAUCUAUUAAUAGGGGAUUAACUGAAUAAACUGUGGUAUGUCUACAUAAUGUAGUACUUACGCAGUUGUAAAAAGGAAUGAAAAGGACUUUUAGAUACUGAUAUGAAGAGAUCUCCAGGACAAAAGUGUUAAGUGAAGAAGCCAGGUAUAGGACAAUGUAUGCUACCUUUUAUAUGAGAGAAGAAGGGGCUAUACCAAUGUGUACAUGUAUUUGUUGAAAUUAGAAUAUUGAAACUGAGGAGAAACAAAUGGAGGCUAGAUAUCUCUGAAUAUGCCUUGUUUUAUAGUUCUUAUUUUUGGAAUCAUAUAACUAUUUUAUAAGUUAAAAAGAAAAAAAUAAUUUCUCAAAAUUGAAAACAAACUAAAGCAAAUAUGAGAGUAUAUCAAGUUGUGGCAUAACCACACAGAGAAAAGACAUAUUUCAUACAUCUUUAUAACAGCAUAUUUGACUGUACACCUCUUAUGGGAUAAAAAUCUUAACCACAUUCAGUAGUCUUUUUGUUCAUGGUAAUAUUGAUAUGGUUGGUUUGAAU